GCCGAAUAUUACCAAUAAUUCAGGAAAGAAACAGAGCAUCAAAUUUGAGCAGCUGGGAGAAGUUUGGAACCCAUCAAUUGGUUGAUUAUUAUUACACAAAAACAUGGGAAGAAACUGUAAUUAGCAAGCCAUGUCUAAUUUCAACACACGAGGAAACCAGCCAGCCAACUCAUCAAUGACGUAGAGCAGCUCAGGUGUCAGAAUAAUGCAUGCGAAUUUACCUCUUGUGCUCCUGCA
rnacentral:misc_RNA from 1 species